AGAAUCAACGCUGGCGGCGUGCCUAACACAUGCAAGUCGAACGAGAAAGUGGAGCAAUCCAUGAGUAAAGUGGCGCACGGGUGAGUAACACGUGACUAACCUACCCUUGAGUGGGGAAUAACUGAGGGAAACCUCGGCUAAUACCGCAUAAUACCUACGGGUCAAAGGAGCAAUUCGCUUAAGGAGGGGGUCGCGGCAGAUUAGUUAGUUGGCGGGGUAAUGGCCCACCAAGACGGUGAUCUGUAUCCGGCCUGAGAGGGCGCACGGACACACUGGAACUGAAACACGGUCCAGACUCCUACGGGAGGCAGCAGUGGGAAUUUGCGCAAUGGGGGAAACCCUGACGCAGCAACGCCGCGUGGAGGAUGAAGACCCUUGGGUCGUAAACUCCUUUCGAUCGGGACGAUUAUGACGGUACCGGAAGAAGAAGCCCGGCUAACUUCGUGCCAGCAGCCGC
rnacentral:rRNA from 1 species